rnacentral:rRNA from 1 species
ACCAACGCUGGCGGCCGUGCGUAACACAUGCAAGUCGCACGGGCCCUGUUCUUCGGAGCGGGGUCUAGUGGCGGACGGGUGAGGAUAACACGAUGGAUAACCUGCCCUGCGGUGGGGGAUACCCCUCAGAAAUGGGGGACAAGCCCGCAUCCGUCCUCUGGUGGCGACCCCGGAGGAGAAAGCGCUUCGGCAAACGAGGCGCGCCGCAGGAGGGGUCCGCGGCCCGAUUAGCUGGUUGGGGCGUGGGUAAGAGCCCACCAAGGCGACGAUCGGUAGCUGGUCUGAGAGGAUGAUCAGCCACACUGGGAUUGAGAACGGCCCAGACUCCUACGGGGGGCAGCAGUGAGGAAUCUUCGGGCAAUGGGGGGCAACCCUGACCGAGCGACGCCGCGUGCGGGAUGAGGGCCUUCGGUCGUAAACCGCUUUUCUCUGGGACGAGGCAGUACGGACGGUACCAGGGGAAGAAAGCCUCGGCUAACUACGUGCCAGCAGCCGGCGGUAAUACGUAGGAGGCGAGCGUUGUCCGGAGUUACUGGGCGUAAAGGUUGCGCAGGCGGCUGAGCAAGUUUGCGGUGAAAUCCCCUGGCUUACCUGGGGGGGUGCCGUGAAAACUGCUUGGCUUGAGACUCGCAGGGGGGCGCGGAAGAAUUCCGGGUGGAAGCAGUGAAAUUGCGUAGAGAUCCGGAGGAACGCCGACAGCGCAGGCGGACGCCACUGGACGAUGGACUGACGCUCAGGCACGAAAGCUGGGGGAGCAAACAGGAUUAGAUACCCUGGUAGUCCCAGCCCUAAACGAUGUCCACCAUAUGUCCGGGGGGUAUCGACCCCCGGUUCCUUGUCGCAGCUCACGUGAUGAGUGGACCGCCUGGGGAGUACGGCCGCAAGUGAGUUGAAACUCAAAGGAAUUGACGGGGGGCCCGCACAAGCAGCGGAGCGUGUGGUUUAAUUCGAUGCAACUGCGAAGCACCUUACCCAGGCUUGACAUCUGGCCGCACCAGGGGUAAUGCCACUGUCCCCUUCGGUAGGGGCGGUUCAGACAGGUGCUUGCAUGGCUGUCGUCAGCUCGUGCCGUGAGGUGUUUGGGUUAAGUCCCCUAACGAGCGCAACCCCUGGGGGUCCGUUACAUGCUCUCGGGCCCGACUGCCGCGCGCAACGCGGAGGAAGGUGGGGAUGAUUGUCCAAGUCAGCACGGCACCUGACGCCUGGGGGCGACACACACGCUACAAUGGCCAGGCACAAACGGGUUGCCAAGUCGCGAGACGGAGCCAAUCCGCCCAAAGCCGGUCGUAGUUCGGAUGGCAGGCUGCAACUCGCCAUGCCUGAAGCCGGAGUUGCUAGUAACCGCGGGUCAGCACACGCGGUGAAUACGUUCCCGGGCCUUGUACACACCGCCCGUCACACCACGAAAGCCGGCGACACCUGAAGACCGCUGGGCCAACCCUUCCGAGGGGGGCAGGCGUCGAGGGUGGGGUCGGUGAUUGGGGUG